rnacentral:lncRNA from 1 species
CGGAGUUGGAACAUGGUUCAUUCUCUUCAUUUUCUUAGGGUUGUAAGUUCAGAAAAAGCACCUUUUUCUCCAAAAUAGUCGUUUAAAUCAUCAAUCCAACCUUGCACUGAAGUGUUGCUUUGUGGACAAACCUUAGCAAACAUAGCUUUUAUGUACAUAUAAUCGUGGAUUUCAGUUUUGUGGAUUGCUUUUCCUAUAUCCACAUCAUCAAUUUUUUUUCUUAAAGUUUCCGCCAUAAUGUUACAUUGUUUACACUUUUUCUUCUUCAACACACCCAUCGUAUCCAUAAAAAUAUGUCCACGAUUAUUUAUCCAUAUGAAAGCGAAUAUAUGUUUAACCAUAAUUGGAUAUGUAUAAUAUAAUUACAUAUUAAAAACUAUUGGAUCUUAAAACAGAAAAAGUUAUAAUAUACUGUGGAAAAAAGUUGAGAUAUUCUUUGGAAUUUUUUUAACAUAAUUUGAUAUUUAAAGAAAAAGAAGAGGAAAUAGAAGUACGACAUCCACAUGGACAAUGCUUUGUGGAUGAGCUACCCCCGACGAUAGAAGUCGUUCUAUUUUCUUCUUUGUUUAGCUAUGUAUGAUUUGUUUUACACUCAUAAACAAGAGAUUUGAUUUAUGCUCCAACCACCAAUCAAAGCCAACCAACAAUAUAUAGUACUUGUGUGAAAUGCUAAGAGAUUAUAACGGGGCUUUGUAAAUGCAUGAUUACAGUUAGCAAACAAAUCUAUGUUUACAAAAUCCAAAAAGAUAAUUGUUCUCGUGUGAGAACAACACUCAUACGUAUAACGUGUUUAAUUUUAAAGUUCAAUGUGUACGGUUAGGUAUAAAAAUCAUGUAUAUUUUUGGUUUGGUAAUGUAACAAAAAAACUAUAUAUAUAACCACAAAUGACUAUCCAUUUAACAUCAACUAUAUGUUUAACCAUAAUUGGAUAUUGUAUAGCAUAAUUAUAUAUUUAAACUAUAUUAAAAUGGAUCUUAAAACGUAAAGAAAAAAUAAUUAUAAUAUAUUAUGUUAAAAGAAUUAGAUUUUAUAUGGAAACAAUUUAUAUAA